GGUCCCAUCGUCUAGUCAGGUCUAGGACAGGUGCCUCUCACGCACCAGACAGGGGUUCGAAUCCCCUUGGGACUACCA
rnacentral:tRNA from 2 species